GAACCCCGCACGGAAGGAAAAAAACCUCCGGAAAGCUUCUUCGAUCCACGCGUCACGUGUAACCCUAGCUCCAGCCCAACUCUGUGCCGCCGGACGCAGAGCCGCCCCACGCUGCCUAGCCCGAUCAAAGCCGCCUCCCUUCUCGCAGUCGCACCUGAGCCGGUCGCCUUGGAUCAGAGCCGCCUGCCCCUGCUUCCCUUCUUCUUCGCCUUGGAUCAGGGGCGUCUCCUCCACGAGUACUGGGGCUAGGGCGCCGGCGGCGAGACACACAAGUGGGCCCACUGAGCGGACGCCCUGAUGGCUCGGUACAUCAACGACGUUAGGGAGAAGUUUGACAGGUACGACGGUGGCGGCGGUGGGUACCCCAUGGCGGCAAGCGGUGGGUCAACAGGCACCAGCCAGACGCAGCACAACGAGGUUGUUAUCCAGGGAUUCCCAAGGCCUCCACUCGAAGAGAUGAUUAACUACUUGGAAGUUGUCUCUUCAAUUUUUAGAAGCAUCGAAUGUUUCCGCUAUCCGCUAUAGGUCCUGAUUGUUGGUACAUGUCUGAUGUAAUUCUAGGAUCUAAAAGAUGGAUAAUUUUCAUAGGCCAGCUAACUUUGUGAUAAAUGAGUAUUAAUGACAUCUGUCUCUUUAUAUUAUCAUUAUUUGUUUCCAGAGUAUUUUUUUUCAAGAUUAUUGCUGCUAUUGUUGUAUGCCUUGAAAGGAUAGCUGCUUGAAAGAUGGAGAUUGUGUAUGAGGCUAACCUUCAUAUUUUUGUAAGUUAUGAUCUGGUUUGAUAUGUUUCUCUUCGUGUUCUACAUUUAUUAGCACAUAUAGUAGUUUGUAUUUUUUUUUUGUAUGGACCUGGUUGCGGAAAAAUCACUUGAUAUUUUUGUAUAUAAAAGGUGAUACUAAGGCAUCUACUUCUAAAAUUUAUCAGAUGAGACACUGUGUGCAAGAUUAUCAGAACCGACAUUUUAUAUAGCUUGAUAUGUUUGGAGUACUGUCAAACUGGGCGGAGCUGAUUAAUAUCAUCAAUGGAGUAUUGCUUACCUUGUAUUAAAAAUAUGCAAAUAUCAAGGAGAAAAUGGUCUGCUUUAUUUCUUCUUCCUCUGUACGUGGUUUUUAUUUUGGGACAAGAUUAUUUUAUUUCUUUUGAUGGUGGCUUCUGUAAGGAUAGAUAUGCAACUGUAAUACAUGAAUGAGAAGUAUCAUUUGUUUUAUUUCACCUUCCUCUGUUGGUGUUUCUACCUCUACUUUACAGAGAGCGACAUUUGGUUCUCUUCUCCAUUCAUCUCAUGGAAUCAAUACAGAACCUGUUAUGUAUGACAUUUUUUGUUUCUUAAGGGCAAGUCCACUUCAGAUCAUACAUGUACAGCAACAUGGUUUCACUCUUGAGAAAGUUUGACUGCAGAUAAGCAGAAGCACAUGUGCGGCUCGCCGGCGAAUGACAGCGUCAGCUGUAGGCAUCCAGGCGACGCCCCGGAAAGAUGCAAUGCAAUUUAGCUCUAGGAUUUGAGUCUUGUAGUGAACUAGCUAGAGCACUUAUUGGUUCAUAAGAUGGUUUAAUCUGUGCUAAAUAUAGUUCAAAUGCCGAUGAUAUUUGCAGUCGGUUUUCACCUCACGAAACGUGAAAACAUGUGGGAUAGAUUAUGAUUUAGAAUCUUGGUUUAUAAGAUAGUUUUGUUUGAAUGACUUGUACUUAGCUCUUUGCACCACAGAAAUGACAUUUAAUUUACUCA